rnacentral:rRNA from 1 species
CCUACGGGAGGCAGCAGUGAGGAAUAUUGGUCAAUGGGCGCGAGCCUGAACCAGCCAAGUCGCGUGAGGGAAGACGGCCCUACGGGUUGUAAACCUCUUUUGCCGGGGAGCAACGGGCGCCACGUGUGGCGCCACUGAGAGUACCCGGAGAAAAAGCAUCGGCUAACUCCGUGCCAGCAGCCGCGGUAAUACGGAGGAUGCGAGCGUUAUCCGGAUUUAUUGGGUGUAAAGGGCGUGGAGCCGGAGAGACAAGUCAGAUGGGAAAUCCACGGGCUCAACCCGUGAACUGCAUUGGAAACUGUUUGCCUUGAGUGGCGGAGAGGUAAUCGGAAUGCCUGGUGUAGCGGUGAAAUGCGUAGAUAUAAGGAAGAACACCAGUGGCGAAGGCGGAUUACUGGACGAUAACUGACGGUGAGGCGCGAAAGCGUGGGGAGCAAACAGGAUUAGAUACCCCGGUAGUC